AUUGAACGCUGGCGGCAGGCCUAACACAUGCAAGUCGAACGAGUGGCGGACGGGUGGGUAAUGUCUGUGCAACUGCCUGAUGGAGGGGGAUAACUACUGGAAACGGUAGCUAAUACCGCAUACCAUCAGAUGUGCCCAGAUGGGAUUAGCUUGUUGGUGGGGUAAAGGCUCACCAAGGCGACGAUCCCUAGCUGGUCUGAGAGGAUGACCAGCCACACUGGAACUGAGACACGGUCCAGACUCCUACGGGAGGCAGCAGUGGGGAAUAUUGGACAAUGGGCGAAAGCCUGAUGCAGCCAUGCCGCGUGUAUGAAGAAGGUCUUCGGGUUGUAAAGCACUUUCAGUUGGGAGGCGUUACCCGCAGAAGAAGCACCGGCUAACUCCGUGCCAGCAGCCGCGGUAAUUC
rnacentral:rRNA from 1 species